rnacentral:lncRNA from 1 species
GCACAGAGAUCAGGAAAAGAAACAUUUUCCUCUCAGUUCACUUCUGCAGGUGGACCAGGUAAAUGAAAGAAAUGAAACUAUUCAAAUACAUGCAACUGUGGACAAUAAAUGAAAUGGCCAAUUUCUCAACCGGUAGAUUUUGUUUUUAUUUGCUAUUUUCUUUUAAACUCAAAUAUUCAUCAGGAUGGAAGUAGAAAAACAUCAAACUUUUCCUUUCUAAUUAAGUAGUUGUAUUUUCUCUGUUAUCUUUAGCACAAGGCACAAUAGGCGAAUUUCACUGUCACUGAAAAAAAGUUACAUAAAGAACUUCUCUUCUAAGGGCAAAAGUAAAUCCUGGCUGUAAUCGUGUAUCGUUAGUAUUUCUGAUGGCACUCGAAGGUGUUACAUGCUCAUGAUAAAAAAAUACUCCAGGUCUAGCUCUGCCUGAAAGAUGCUCAGAAAUCAGGGACACAACAGUGAUAUGUGAACACCCUCACUUGAAAGAGUUCCUCUUUGAUCCCUCUGGUAAAUUAAAUUUUUUGGGAAGGUAUGAGGAAUGUAGAAUAUACGUUUCCCUAGAGGAACUGGACUAAAUAAUUAUCUUCAUUUGACAAAAUACAGUAUUUCUCCAUGGAUAAUUCCUGUUCCCACACAUUGGAGAGGUCUCCAGUAGCCUUCCUCUUCACAUUUCUACUCGCCAGGACACAAUACAAACUGAAACGGCACUUCCCUUCUCUAAGAAAUGGCCAAAAAGCAUGCUAGAACACUGGGAAAUGAAUUUGAUCAGCAGACAAGAAGUAUGUUCCCAGUUACAAAAUGUUCUUCUCUACAUCAGCCACAAAUUAAUAAGCAGAAGCAAAAGACAGACCAAAUAUGAAUUGAAAAUAAGGCAUCAAUUUUCAGCAAAAUAA